CAGUCGAGCGGUAGCACAGAGAGCUUGCUCUCGGGUGACGAGCGGCGGACGGGUGAGUAAUGUCUGGGAAACUGCCUGAUGGAGGGGGAUAACUACUGGAAACGGUAGCUAAUACCGCAUAACGUCGCAAGACCAAAGUGGGGGACCUUCGGGCCUCAUGCCAUCAGAUGUGCCCAGAUGGGAUUAGCUAGUAGGUGGGGUAACGGCUCACCUAGGCGACGAUCCCUAGCUGGUCUGAGAGGAUGACCAGCCACACUGGAACUGAGACACGGUCCAGACUCCUACGGGAGGCAGCAGUGGGGAAUAUUGCACAAUGGGCGCAAGCCUGAUGCAGCCAUGCCGCGUGUGUGAAGAAGGCCUUCGGGUUGUAAAGCACUUUCAGCGGGGAGGAAGGCGUUAAGGUUAAUAACCUUGUCGAUUGACGUUACCCGCAGAAGAAGCACCGGCUAACUCCGUGCCAGCAGCCGCGGUAAUACGGAGGGUGCAAGCGUUAAUCGGAAUUACUGGGCGUAAAGCGCACGCAGGCGGUCUGUCAAGUCGGAUGUGAAAUCCCCGGGCUCAACCUGGGAACUGCAUUCGAAACUGGCAGGCUAGAGUCUUGUAGAGGGGGGUAGAAUUCCAGGUGUAGCGGUGAAAUGCGUAGAGAUCUGGAGGAAUACCGGUGGCGAAGGCGGCCCCCUGGACAAAGACUGACGCUCAGGUGCGAAAGCGUGGGGAGCAAACAGGAUUAGAUACCCUGGUAGUCCACGCCGUAAACGAUGUCGAUUUGGAGGUUGUGCCCUUGAGGCGUGGCUUCCGGAGCUAACGCGUUAAAUCGACCGCCUGGGGAGUACGGCCGCAAGGUUAAAACUCAAAUGAAUUGACGGGGGCCCGCACAAGCGGUGGAGCAUGUGGUUUAAUUCGAUGCAACGCGAAGAACCUUACCUGGUCUUGACAUCCACAGAACUUUCCAGAGAUGGAUUGGUGCCUUCGGGAACUGUGAGACAGGUGCUGCAUGGCUGUCGUCAGCUCGUGUUGUGAAAUGUUGGGUUAAGUCCCGCAACGAGCGCAACCCUUAUCCUUUGUUGCCAGCGGUCCGGCCGGGAACUCAAAGGAGACUGCCAGUGAUAAACUGGAGGAAGGUGGGGAUGACGUCAAGUCAUCAUGGCCCUUACGACCAGGGCUACACACGUGCUACAAUGGCAUAUACAAAGAGAAGCGACCUCGCGAGAGCAAGCGGACCUCAUAAAGUAUGUCGUAGUCCGGAUUGGAGUCUGCAACUCGACUCCAUGAAGUCGGAAUCGCUAGUAAUCGUAGAUCAGAAUGCUACGGUGAAUACGUUCCCGGGCCUUGUACACACCGCCCGUCACACCAUGGGAGUGGGUUGCAAAAGAAGUAGGUAGCUUAACCUUCGGGAGGGC
rnacentral:rRNA from 1 species